GACGAACGCUGGCGGCGUGCUUAACACAUGCAAGUCGAACGAUGAAGCCGGAGCUUGCUCCGGCGGAUUAGUGGCGAACGGGUGAGUAACACGUGAGCAAUCUGCCCUUGACUCUGGGAUAACUGCGGGAAACUGUAGCUAAUACCGGAUACGACACCUUGGGGCAUCCCAGGGUGUGGAAAGAAUUUCGGUCAAGGAUGAGCUCGCGGCCUAUCAGCUAGUUGGUGAGGUAAUGGCUCACCAAGGCGACGACGGGUAGCCGGCCUGAGAGGGUGACCAGCCACACUGGAACUGAGACACGGUCCAGACUCCUACGGGAGGCAGCAGUGGGGAAUAUUGCACAAUGGGCGAAAGCCUGAUGCAGCAACGCCGGGUGGGGGAUGAAGGCCUUCGGGUGUAAACCUCUUUUAGCAGGGAAGAAGCGAAAGUGACGGUACCUGCAGAAAAAGCACCGGCUAACUACGUGCCAGCAGCAGCCGCAG
rnacentral:rRNA from 1 species